CCACAUUUUUGUAGAUGAUACGCUCGAUUGUCAGGCUGGAAACAGGGAUAGACCAGCUAUAUCAUCUGCUCGCUGACGGCGCGUGCUUGCUCCUUCUCUCUCCUCAAGCAAUCCCGAGGAUAAUAUAAAGAGACAGUGGAUUCCAACGGUAUAAGCUUUCAAACCAGUUGUCCACUGAAUGAAUGAGUGUUUUGGGGACUCACAGAGAAGCAGUGUGAUUAACUCAGACCUUCUGGAACCAUGAUAUCACAGAACAUCUGGAGCCCACACAAGGUCGCUGAAGGUUCCAGGACAUCGUUUGAACUCCAUAUAAGGGCACGGCCAGCUGGGGGACAUUCCAUGUGCAGACUGAUGGUAGAAAACACAUCCUCUCUUACCGUCUGCAUCUGAGUGUGUGUUUCUCAUCAUGAGGCAUGAGACACGAUUGCAACACUGAAUUCUUUUACAAAUGUCACAUUUGCUUUCUACAAGGAAAGUGGUUCUGAGUUUGGACUGUUUGGAGAGAUAAAGUGUGUUCGUGUGUGUAUGAGGCGUAGCAUCUGUUCUUUUUUGGAUAAACAAAACACGUCUGAUGCGUGCGGCAUCUUCCUAAACGUCUGGUUCCCUGUGAUAGGAAGUUACAUGUUGUGCUACCUUAUCUACAAUUAAAUAUCUUCAACAUGUACUAGA